UACGGAGGGUGCAAACGUUGCUCGGAAUUAUUGGGCGUAAAGCGCACGUAGGCGGUCCAGCAAGUCGGGUGUGAAAGCCCUCGGCUUAACCGAGGAAGUGCAUUCGAAACUACUGGACUUGAAUACUGAAGAGGAUCGCGGAAUUCCCGGUGUAGAGGUGAAAUUCGUAGAUAUCGGGAGGAACACCAGUGGCGAAGGCGGCGACCUGGGCCAAUAUUGACGCUGAGGUGCGAAAGCGUGGGGAGCAAACAGG
rnacentral:rRNA from 1 species